rnacentral:sRNA from 1 species
GAAAGAUGCCGAGGCGGAAGGGCUGAGCGCCACGACCCUACUGCCGAAGCUGAUUCCCUCCGGUGCAGGCCGGGAGUGGCUGGAGCGCCGCCGCGCGACCAUCCGUCCCUGGAGCACCUUCGUGGACCAGCAGCGCUUCUCACGGCCCCGCAACCUGGGCGAGCUCUGCCAGCGCCUCGUACGCAACGUGGAGUACUACCAGAGCAACUAUGUGUUCGUAUUCCUGGGCCUCAUCCUGUACUGCGUGGUGACGUCCCCUAUGUUGCUGGUGGCUCUGGCUGUCUUUUUCGGCGCCUGUUACAUUCUUUAUCUGCGCACCUUGCAGUCCAAGCUUGUGCUCUUUGGUGAGAAACCCCCUGCCCAGAUGAAUCCUUGGUCCCUCAAAUCUUGGUCUUUUGGAAUGCAGACCUCAGACCCCAAAUCCAAGUCCUUCAAAACCCAAGUCCGCCCAAGCCUAGAUGUACAUUAGAUCCCCCAAACCUGAUCCGUUAAAAUCUCAGACACAACCGAUCCUUCCAUCGAGUCUCAGCCCCCUCAAAUUGCUAUUCCUCAAACCCAGGAUCCACCUGGCUGCUGUGCCUUAAACCUACUCCUUUUCAAACCACAUGACUCCUCCCCUCUCUCUCCUCCCCUUGCCGCUCUCUGCGGCCAACAUCAGCUGCAGGUGCCCACACUGGACACCAGGUGGCCACCUUACACUGGCCUAGAUCUGUUCCCGUUUCUUUUCCAGCUUUCUGGGGUAUGACCAGAAAGAACUUGAAACAUAG